rnacentral:tRNA from 1 species
GGGUGGUUGCCGGAGUCUGGUUAACGGGUCGGACUGUAAAUCCGAAGCCUCACGAGAGCGGUGGUUCAAAUCCAUCACCACCCA